UCAGAAUAACUCGAUUUGCACGAAUGUCGUCUCGGUGUAAGGGAGAUGCUUUCUGGCUAGCUAUACUCUG
rnacentral:tRNA from 1 species